rnacentral:rRNA from 1 species
UACGUAGGGGGCUAGCGUUGUCCGGAUUUAUUGGGCGUAAAGAGCGUGUAGGCGGCCAGGUAGGUCUGGUGUGAAAACUCGAGGCUUAACCUCGAGAUGUCAUCGGAAACCAUCUGGCUAGAGUCCGGAAGAGGAGAGUGGAAUUCCUGGUGUAGCGGUGAAAUGCGCAGAUAUUGGGAAGAACACCAGUGGCGAAGGCGGUUCUCUGGGACGGUACUGACGCUGAGACGCGAAAGCGUGGGGAGCGAACAGG